UUGAAAGGGAAACGAUUGAAGUCAGUCGUACCAGCGGGAAAUCAACCUUUCGAGUGGUGUUUUGGAGUUUUGAAGUGUGUCAAAACCUUUGAGAUUUUAAAAUUUUCGCUCUUUUGGUGUACUUUCUCGUGGGUAGGUUAACAUCGAUUUUGAUCAUCAUAAAAAGACUGGAGGAAUGUAGCUUCGAUCUUGUAUUGAAGUGUUAUAGCCUUUGGUAAAUGUGAUGAUUAGGAUCGAGGAUUGCAACGAAUACCCUUUUGGGCUAUCCGCCUGAUCUCUGAUACGUGACCUUGGUAUCGAAAGCGUGCUUAUGGUAUUGAGGUAUUACGGUCAAAAGGUUAGAACGGAUUACAUUCGUUAAGGAUGUUGACGUA
rnacentral:rRNA from 1 species